rnacentral:lncRNA from 1 species
AUCUCUGCAUCUGUGUUGUAUGGUUUGGAAGGAGAGAAUCUGGAGCCAGACAGGGUACUAGUGAAUAUUCUGUAGAGCCCACCUUGACCAGAUGGGGACCCAUUUCCAAGGCAUUCACUCUCUGGCUAGUAAGAAAGCUCCAGAAGGAAGGAAGUCCAAUUCAACUGCCAUCUGGUUGUUAGGGGCACAGCUGCCAUUCUCUCCUCAUCUGUGUUCUCUUGGAAAAGGCCCAGUGCAGAGAUGGCAGAGCUAGACAAGGAAACAUGAAGGAGCACAAUCAUACCUUGUAAUUGUCUGACCCAGGCUAAAAAUCUCUAUCGAACAAUUAGGUGUGAAACAGCCCGCACUCCCAAUACCCUACCUAGACCAAAGCAAACUUAGAAGCAAACUCACCCUUUCCCAGGGGAUGGAUAUUAUGGAUAUUGCCACAAAUUUUUUUUUUUUGGUCUUCUUUUUAAGGCCACACACACUACAUAUGGAAGCUCCCAGGCUAGGGGUUGAAUCAGCUGUAGCUGCUGGUCUAUACCACAGCCACAGCAAUGAGGGAUCCGAGCCAGAUAGGAUUUGCAACCUACACCACAACUCACAGCAGCACUGGAUCCUUAACCCACUGAGCGAGGCCAGAGAUCGAACCUGUGGCCUCAUGGAUACUAAUCAAGUUCUUUACCACUGAGCCAUGACAGGAACUCUGCAAGAUUAUACUUUAUGACAUGUGCCUGGAGGAGACUACAAACGACAAUGGUGCUGGAAUCAAGGCUGCUCUCUAAAGCCAUCAAGGGCUACCUGAGUCUUACAUCUUUUUAUCCCUCAAGAGAAUGUUCUGAACAUUGUCCUGGAUUUGCUGAUCCACAAUUAACUGGCCACAGAUUCUAUGUUUCUUACUUGAAAUCCUUGAGACACUGUUGAUUGUUGGCCAGUGAGAGACAAAUGACCUUAAUACAUGUUUCCACCUCCUGCCCAAUCAGCUGUAGCCAAGGAGCACAAAAAAGAGCAGUUCUCAGAGGAUCCAACUACAGCCAGGCCAGGCCUGGCCUAUGACUCCUUUUAAAGUAGCUUUCUUAGUAGAAGUACUUCAACGUGAGUGACAGGCAGCUAUGGUUCUGUCUCUUGAGCUCUGCCAACAACCCUUCACACUUUUCAAGGAAAUAUCUUUACCUACAUCCACACUUUAAUAAAAAAAUGAGGAGUUCCUGUCAUGGUUCAGUGGUAAUGAACCCAACUAGUACCCAUGAGGAUGCAGGUUGAAUCCCUGGCCUAGCUCAGUAGGUUAAGGAUCUGGCAUUGCCAUAAGGUGCAGUGUAGGUCACAGAGGCAGCUAGGAUCCCCAACUGCUGUGGCCUGGUGUAGGCCGGAGGCUACAACUCCAAUUUGACCCCUAGCUUGGGAAUUUCCAUAUGCUGCAAGUGCAGCCCUAAAAAGAUAGAUGAAUAAAUAAAUAAAUAAAUAACUCAUUCCACUUCUUGGCCAAAGCUGAUUGGCAUCUGACCCAAUUAGAGUCCUUCCCCUGGAAUUUUGGAACUGGAAACAAGGAGAGGUCAGUCUCUUUUCACAAGCAUCCCCGUGAGGGCAUGGAAACUUGGGAUCCAUUGACAGUCACAGUUUGUCAUGCCAUCCAAGCACAGAAAAAGCCAGUCAGCAGUGACAAGAAAAUAUGAACCAUAAGUAGAGAGAAGUAGAGGCAAGGGGUUACAAAAGGGUCCUGAGUUUGUUCUGGCCCCUGGUUCCAGUUCUCAGGCACUCCUGCUGUCUUCUCCUUGGCUUCAGUGACCUACCAAGUAUCCUCAAAAUGAAUCCCCCUUAUACUAGUCUGAACUGGGUUUCUGUAAUUUGCAACCCAAAUGGACCUAAGACAAGUAUUAGAAUCUGCUAGUUCCCUAACCAGAUGCUUCACUGUUCAUGUUCUGCUACCAAGACCUCUCUUCUCAGAGCUCUUUGGGGUCGUGGGGAUACAUAGAAGACACAGCGUCCAACAUGGUUCACAGAACAAAAGGUAGGUGUCAAUUUCCUCACAAAGAAGCUUUGGAAUUUUCCAGCCAAGCCUAUAAGCUUGUUUCCAAUCCACUCCCAAAUGAAUCCACGAAACGAAAGAGGCAGGGUCUUUACCUUUCUUGAACUCUCAGAUUUCUGUCUCAGUCGCCUAAAAUAUACUACCUUAUACAAUCACAGCUAUUUCUAUUUGUAUUUUUAUCUUUCCAAGUAGAUGAUGCAUGUUGGGAGCUGAAUCUUGAGAGCCAAAUCUUUCUUUCCUCACACUAAGACAACUACUUUCGCAUAUUUGGUACUCAGGAAAUAUUUACCGUCUAACUGAAAUACCAAGUUUUGCAAGAAAGUCUGGUUGGUGUUGGAAAGCAGCCUUAGAGGAUUAGAAGAGGGAGCAGCAUCACAGGCCAGGUGGAAAGGGUUGUAAGGAAACCCUGGCCCAGAUCCGGGGAAUCCAGAGAAACGGGCAAUCUCAGGUGCUUUCCGGGCAAGACGGAUCAGCAGGAUUCAGCGGAGUCAGUGCAAUCCAGUCGUACCAAUCCCCCUAGGCGGGGUAAGCAGGGAAAGGAUGGCACAGCGACCUUCGGUCAGAAAGGCUAAGGGAAGAAAUGCGCCAUUUCAAUCGGCGGACAGCACUGGGGAGCGCGGCCCUGAGCACCGCAAAGCACAUCGAACACUCAGGAGGCCAGGCUACUGUGACCUCACUCCACCUCGCUGCCACACGUCUUGACCCUGAGCCGUGCUUUUACCCUGAGCUCGCCUGCCCAGGUCAGCCGGGGCAGCCGCGACCAAGGACAGUUCGAAAACAUCCAAUUUCAGUUCCACCUUCACGUCAUGGCGCGACGCAUCCGUCCCACCUCCCCGACCCUUCCUCAAACGUGUUGCAACCAGAGCCGCCUCUCCCACCACACCCAAUCCUAAAUCCUCACCUUGGGGGCCCCCUCCUCGCUGGAGCCUCUUAAGGCGCAAAAACAGCAAACCGCCUGCACAAAAUGCGCUCAGAAAACUACGAUUCCCAGAAGGGU